rnacentral:lncRNA from 1 species
AAACAGCUUCAACCAGAUAUGUUAGCAUAAUAUAUAAUAAAUUAUAACAGUCCGACCGACCGUCCCUAGAGCAAGUGGCAAAGAACUUGGCGGUUGGUACCUGAGAUCCAAGUUCAAAUACUAGUUGAUUCACAUUUCCAGCUAAGUUUAUUUCUAAAUAAAAUAAAACGAAGCGGGCAGCGUGCUACCUAUCUCUCAAAAAAAAAUUAUAACAGUCCGGCUAUUAUAUUAUCGGUAGCACGAAAUCCUCAAUACUAUCAAGUUGUUUUCAAUGAUACGGCUUCUGAAUCGACCAUCGGCUCCGUUAGACUUGAUCUACACUAUUAAAAGUAUUUGGAAGCCAAAUUUCAUGAUUUGUCUAUAUCAUUUUCCUAUCAAUCAAGUAGUCUAGAAAUGAACAGCUAAAAAUAAAAAUCUCAUAAAAAAUAAUUAUAAAACGUUUGAAUUUAAGAUUAGAGAUACUGAUCUUACUCUACAUAUUGAAAAGAAUUUUCUAUCAAAAUUUUAUUGAAUUUGGAUUGUUUUACAACGUCAAAUUCAAAAACGCAUCACAUCGGCCACUAAAAUUAUCAAUUUUGAGAUCUUUUGAUCACUAGUCAAAUAAUGUCGAAAAUAAAAUAAAAUUUGGUUCCUAAAUAUCUUUAAUAGUGUAGAUCAUGUCUAACGAAAACCAAUCGUCAAUUUGGAAGCGGCAUCAUCGAAAACAAUUUGAUACUAUAGAGGCCUCCGUGCUACCGAUAGUAUAACAGCCAAAUUGUAAAUUAUAAUUAUUAGUUUACAUUUAUAUUAGAAUGACUAGUAACAAAAUAAUUCUAAUUGCUUAUAAAAUAAUAAAAUAGCCAAUCACAAAACUUUGCAGGACUCUUUCUCUUCUAAACCUAAAUGUUUUGAUCUGUCAACUCAAACAUCAAUGAUCUCAAUCAUCAAUGGUAUGUUGUCCUUUUAAAAAUCUUAUUAAUAUUUUCAAAUAUAUUUUUCUGAUUUAUUACCAUUAAAUCAGGACUUUUUUUGUAAAUGAAAUAAUUUUUUUGUCACCAUAAAUAUGUUCCUCCAAAAAUCCUAACUAUUAUAAGAGGGGUAAAAUGAUCAAUUUACUUCAUUAACUAAUCAGGAUUAAGUAUUUAACUUAUGAUUAAUUAAAUUUUUCUAACCGAUUCUAACGGCAGAAACAUAUUUGAAAAUAUCGUUACUUUUGCAGAAAUAACAUAUAAAAGUUAAAUUUUGUAGAAAUAUAUUUAUAAUUCACUAUGUUUUCAGGGAACUGUAUGUAAUUAACCCUUUUUAAAACAUCGAAAACCCUAAUUACAUAUUACCUAAAGGCACUAAAU